AACGUAGGUGGCGAGCGUUAUCCGGAUUUACUGGGCGUAAAGCGUGUGCAGGCGGGGCUUCAAGUGGUGUAUGAAAUUUCCCAGCUUAACUGGGAGAGGUUAUGCCAGACUGGAGUUCUAGAGUGCGAGAGAGGGGCGUGGAAUUCCGGGUGUAGUGGUGAAAUGCGUAGAGAUCCGGAGGAACCCCAGAGGCGAAGGCGGCGCCCUGGCUCGCAACUGACGCUCAGACACGACAGCAUGGGGAGCGAACGGG
rnacentral:rRNA from 1 species